GCUCACAUCGUGUGGUAGAAUGAGGAUGGUUUGUACCUGAGCAUGGAGACGGUAGACUGGUUGUUAAUCGCCGGUGUGACUGAAAACAUCGAAUGUUGAGAAAGUGAUCGGAAAGCAAACAUGAGGAAGCGAGAUUUGGCUAUUCUCAUGCUCUCCGCUUUCACUAUCUUCUUUUCUCUUCAGCAUGCGGGUGAUUUCUGGUCUAGAGAGGCGUGGUUUCAUCUAUCCGAUGAUUACCCUAUUAAAUACGAAGCUGAUCGUCUUCCGCCGCCUGUUGUCGCCGAUCUAAACGGGGAGGGAGGGAAAGAAAGAAGUUCUUGUCGCUACUGAUGAUGCUAAAACCUCCCUCCCCUAAAUUAUCGUUUAAUCGGUUUUGGUAGGUUUGACUGGGUGAUGUAAUUGUGCAUGUGUUAAGUUUUGGAGCCCCAUCCUAGGCGGGUGGACGAAGGGUUUAGUGAAGCCAGAGUGCUUGCGGAGGUCUCACCAUUGCCUGACAAAAUUCGGGUUGCAUCUGGCUGGCGGGCAGUGGCUAUGGCUGCUGGUGUUAUGGAUAACACACAGAAACGGGGCCAACCACUGAAGCAGGUGUUGGUGGUUGUUACUUCGGGUUGGUUAGUAAUGUGCUUUGAUCACAACCUCAAAAAGCUACGUGAAUCAAAUCUGCUGGUUUGUAACUUUGUUGUGCUUUUCUUAUUUAUACUUUCUAGUUUACAAAUACUUUGGUUUUUUGGGGCAGGAGGAUUUUCCGCAUAAUGCUCACCACUGGGAGAUUGCCAUCUCCAUAAGUAAUUACACAUUGAAGCAUGGGGAUACAGGAUUGGUUAUUGUUGGUGGGAGGAUGGAAAUGCAGCCACAUAUGUACUUGGAUCCUUUUGAAGAAAUUGGGAUAGCUGAGAGAAAUGCUGAGCAGCAUAGAAGAAGUGCUAAUGAGAAGGAGACUUCAGUGAACUCUGGAAUUGUGAAUUUGCGCCAUUUUGCCUUUUAUGCUUUGCUGGUUGAACUGGUGUCCUCCGUUGGAGUAGAAAGAAUGAGGUGACCUAUUUGAGUCCUUAAUUUUAUUCUUUCAUGUGCAGUUCAUGCCUUAGUAAUUUGCGGCUGUUUCAACUAUACUACUGUUGUAAAAUUGAGUUGCAUUACUUAGACAGUAACUAAAUUUGAGUGUUGCACUAUGAAAUUGUAUUUGAACCUAAAUGUACUCUUACCUUUGCAUUUAACUUCACAUUGACAAUCAAAGCUUCUUUAAGAUGCAUAUAGUUCCUAUAUGCAACUGUAGUUAUAGAAUGGGAACCCAUUUUCAAGCCCUUACUUUUCAAGAUUUCUCUAUUGAGUCCUUUAGUUGUAUAUUGAGUCCAUGAACUUUCCAAUUUAAAACAUUGAGAACUUAUUUAACAACUAAAAUUAAGAGAAAGAGGGAGAGAGAAAUUUGUAACUGUGAUUUUAGAAAUAUAAAAAGAUUGCCCUACUUUUCAAAAUAUUGCCCUGCUCAAUGGACAAAACUUGAAAAUGUCUAUGGCCCUGGAUAUGGGUUUUUUGGUUUUCCUAACCGAAUAUUUUCUAGAGUGAAAAAGCAGGGCAAUUUUUAAAUUUUCUUUAAACUGCCAAACAAAUUUCCUCACCGUUUUUAAACAGAAUUUUAUUUAUGCCAUUCUCUUGUACCAAGAGAAACAUAUCAUAUGGCCAAUAUAAACAUACAAACAAUUUGGAUGGUAAUUUUAAUUAGGAAACUUUCAUUCAUGCAGCACCUUAUGGAUAGUAUGCUAUGUUUCUUAUGUAAAAUAGACGGUCCUUUUUCAAUUAAUAAUAUCAUCAUUUUUGUUGUUUAGAAUAUAGAGCCGCAAUCUUCAGAUGCAUCCCAACUAAUUCCCCAACAUAACUACAAGCUUGACGUCCAUGCUCUGAAUAGCCGUCAUCCUGGAGAGGUAGGCCUUGGAGCCAUUUUGAGAAACUUAUUACUCUGAAUUGUAAUUACUGAAUUCUUAUAUAAAUCGCGAUACCUUCUUAUUGAUAUUAACAUCUUGACUUAUUUUUGUUCUUAUAAUCUCCCAAGAAAAAGUCAUUGAUGACCAAUUAGAACAGUUGUGUUUCUUAAGUUUUUGGAUUGCAUUAGUUUAUCUUCCUCAGGUUUUUGGAUUUAUCGUUUCAAGCUGAAAUUGGCCUGAAUAUGCUUCUAUCACAAAUUUUGAAGCCUCAAACCAAUACCAACCCAAAAUAAUUUUCUUUGAAGAGAAAAGUCCUAUGUUCUUGUGUUUUAUUUUCUUUUAUUUCCAAAGAAAUUGUUACUGCCUUUUCUAUUGGCUAUCUCUCCUAAAGAUUUGCAUGCUGAGCAAUGUUGCACCUUAGCAUGAAUGCAGGGAAUUUGGGCAAGCAAUUCUUAGAGUUAUGCCGCAUCACAGGGAUAGGAGAGAAGAUACUCGGUUGCAGUUGUCGCACUUCAGGCCUCACAAAAGAAAAGGUUUGAAAAAAGUUCCCAGAAAGACUACAAACUAUCCUUUUCACAAGCCUGAAGAAAAUCAUCCUCCUGGGAAGGACUCAUCAAAUAAAAUUUCUAACAUCAUUGGAAAAGCAGCAAAUUAUGCUGCGUCAGCAAAAUCUAAGAAGCCAUUACCUUAUAUUCCAACCAUAACAAACUACACCCAGCUUUGGUGGGUUCCUAAUGUUGUUGUGGCUCAUCAAAAAGAAGGGAUAGAAGCUGUUCACUUGGCAUCUGGUCGCACCCUUUGUAAGCUUCAUCUCCGAGAAGGUGGCCUUCAUGCUGAUAUUAAUGGAGAUGGUGUCCUAGAUCAUGUGCAGGCUGUUGAAGGAAAUGAAGCGGAGCUGUUGAGGGAAAUGGAGCGGAGCAGACUACUGUUAGUGGAUCAAUGGAAGUGCUGCGACCUUGUUGGGAGGUUGCAACUUCUGCUGUACCAGUGCGGGAGCAACUCUUCAAUGCUUCUAUAUGUCAUCAUUUCCCAUUUAUUCCAACAUGGAGAGUUCUCCACAAAUUUUGGCCAUACGUCUGAUGUAUCUUAUUUAGAGGUAGCAACACCUAUUCCCAUCCCAAGAAGUGGUGGUCAUAGGCAUCGCAAGGGAAGUGGCGAUGUUGUCUUCUUGACAAAUCGUGGGGAGGUACUGUAAUCUGAAACUAGUUUCUUCUUGUAGCUAAAUUACAGUCUGAUCAAGAAAAUUGUUUAGUGCCAUUAUCUUUAUUUGUUUGUUUUAUAGAAUGGAACAUUAUUCUGGUGUGAAAUUAUUAGUUAGGCUGGGAGUGAUUCUUCUAGAAACGAGGUAAUGGUGUGUAUGGGUCUCAUGACAAUUUGUUUCUAGUGGGAGCGUACUCCUAUGAUGACUAGUAAUUUCUUCUUAUUACGGCAUCUGAAGAAGCAAUAUGAACUUCAAAAUGAUCAUUCCCAUGUAGAGAAAUUUGUUCUCUAAAUGGGGGUAUCCAAUUGGAUCAGAGUUUAGUUAAUUUUAUUUAUUUAUAGAAGAAAAUCCUAAUGUCAACCGACUUAGUAAGUACAGUAAGAUUGAACUUGGUGAAAUUUAAAACCUUUAUCCCGACAGUUAGUUAUAACCUGCCUGUUAUAUUCAUAACUGUUAUAUGUGCAGAAAUAUGAGUUCAGGCACGUUGAGGUUAUAGGGACUCGUUAGGGUACCACAUCUUUCAGGUCACUUCAUACUCUCCCGGCUCACAUGGCCAUAAUGCCAUCUGGGAAUGGCAUCUCUUAACAGGUGCUGCAUGGUCAAAUCUUCCUUCUCCAUCAGGGUUGAUGGAAGUUGGAGUGGUGGUCCCAACGCUUAAGACAUUUUCUUUGCGACUGCAUGAAAAUCAACAAAUGAUCCUUGCAGCAGGAGAUCAGGAGGCAGUAGUUAUAUCUCCCGGAGGAAGCAUACAAACAUUAAUUGACCUUCCUGCGACACCCACUCAUGCACUGAUCAGCGAGGACUUCUCAAAUGAUGGGCUUACUGACCUUAUUGUUGUGACGUCCAAUGGAGUGUAUGGCUUUGUACAGACAAGGACACCUGGUGCCCUCUUCUUCAGCACACUGGUUGGUUGCCUUCUAAUUGUGAUGGCAGUCAUCUUGGUGACCCAACACUUGAACUCCAUUAAGGGAAAAUCACGUGCUUCAUCUGGUUCUGGGCGAGAAGCAAUUUAUACUUGCUGUUUGUCAGAAAUUAAUGGUCACGGCCAUAAAGUCCAAAGAAAAAUAAUGGCAACAAGAGGCUGAUAUGGGAAAUCCAAUUGAUCUGUGGAGUAGGCAUCAGAGCAAAGAAUUAUUAGACCAUGUUUACCCAUGAUUUUAUGAACAAAGGGAUUGAUCACCAUCCCUUUGUUCCUUGUGUAAAUUAUAGAACUAACUUUGUGGAUGACUCUUGGCUAAGCUUAAUAUGGUUUUUAGAAAAUUUCGAAUUAAUGUGAAAGUUCUGUUUGCCUUCGACAUC
rnacentral:misc_RNA from 1 species